GGGGAAUAUUGCACAAUGGGCGCAAGCCUGAUGCAGCAACGCCGCGUGAGGGACGAAUGCCUUCGGGUUGUAAACCUCUUUUAGUAGGGAAGAAGCGAAAGUGACGGUACCUGCAGAAAAAGCACCGGCUAACUACGUGCCAGCAGCCGCGGUAAUACGUAGGGUGCAAGCGUUGUCCGGAAUUAUUGGGCGUAAAGAGCUCGUAGGCGGUUUGUCGCGUCUGCUGUGAAAACUGGAGGCUCAACCUCCAGCCUGCAGUGGGUACGGGCAGACUAGAGUGCGGUAGGGGAGAUUGGAAUUCCUGGUGUAGCGGUGGAAUGCGCAGAUAUCAGGAGGAACACCGAUGGCGAAGGCAGAUCUCUGGGCCGUAACUGACGCUGAGGAGCGAAAGCAUGGGGAGCGAAC
rnacentral:rRNA from 1 species